rnacentral:rRNA from 1 species
UACAGAGGUCUCAAGCGUUGUUCGGAUUCAUUGGGCGUAAAGGGUGUGUAGGUGGCGCGCUAAGUCGGGUGUGAAAUUUCGGAGCUUAACUCCGAAACUGCAUUCGAUACUGGCGUGCUUGAGGACUGGAGAGGAGACUGGAAUUCAUGGUGUAGCAGUGAAAUGCGUAGAUAUCUGGAGGAACACCGGUGGCGAAGGCGGCAUCCUGGACCAUUACUGACACUGAAACGCGAAAGCCAGGGGAGCAAACGGG